rnacentral:tRNA from 1 species
GCCUCUGUGGCUUAGUGGUACUUUGCCUAAGCAAAGGUUUAUGCAAAGCAAAAAAGAGCACACGCUUGGUAAGCGUGAGGUCGGGGGUUCAAUGCAGGCGACUCCUAGUGCAAAAAAGCACCGGAGUCCCCUUUAGAGAAAACGCAAAGUCUCUGAAAUUCCCCCCAGAGGCU